GAGUGCCACGUCAGUCAUUUAUGACUGACAUUAGACUUUCCGUGUCCGUCACGGAUGCCUGACACUUAACUAAUUUUUCAAUACAAAGUAACGUCUGUGGCCUAACGGGAAUUUUUCUAAGAAUUUUUUAUGGCGCCCCCCAACGUGUUAAAGGAAAGGCUUCAAUAAUAUUCAACAAUACUUCAAACUUUCGGAAAAACGUCUGACCAUUAAAGAAAUUUGUAUUUCUUUUGUUUUAGUGAUUUGGGUCUGUUGUAAUGAAAUACACCAUAUAUGAGGAUAAUAGAAAUGAAUCUUUUAUAAUAGCCACCUUUAACUAUCAAAAAGGUUUCACAGUGAAUUUAAACAUGUUUGGGUCUUCAUUUUGUUUGUUCCUUUUCAGAAUAAAAACUCUACAGGAAUAAGGCUCUGUAAUGUUUAGAUAUUAUUGAAAGGAAGAAUUUGAACAAAAUAGACAUUGAACAAAAAUGGGAUAUUUGUAUUUACAAGUUAUUUUACUGUAUAAACUUGAAGAUAUACAUUCUAACCUAACAUAGGUAAAAAAGAAAUUCAAGGCACGUAUUGUUGAACAUUACAAAGAACAUAAAAAAGAGAAAUUUUCUUUGGAAGACGCUAGAUGUCUCUAGAAAAAAGAACACGUUUCAGUAGAAGUUUAUUGUAGGCAGUAAGAAACGUUAUUCUUAAAAAUUAUUUUUACAUAGUUCGUUUUAUUAAGUUCUGCUGUAUAUAUUUAAAACUUUUCACAAUAUAUUAAAUUAAUUAUUUUUUUUUUUUCCAAAUAAUACAAAGAAAUAAGUGAAAGUGUUCGUUCGAUUCAAGAAGGUUCUUCUUUGUUCAUUUUUUCGAGAAGGAAAUGUAUUAUCAUAUUAUUUUUGAAAUAUUAUUCAAACCGGAUGUAUUGACGUCACAUGAAUGUAAAAAAGAAACUUAUCAAUGACUCAUGCUGCAAUACGGAAGAUUAUAUUCUUUUCUAAAAUGUUAUUUUACAGAAAAGAGAUAAGAUAAUAGUCUCCAAUAGCACAAGGUUUUAACCUAAAAAUGAUAUUUUAAAAAAUAAUACAGUAAGAUUUCAAGUAAAAUUAUAAUGGCUGUGAUCUUAUAUUAAAACGGAGUAAGUAAUUAAUUUAUAAAAAAAAAAAAAGGAAAAUUCCUGAAUGUUUUUCUCAUAGAAUAUUCUUGUAAGUUCCACACGAAUUCUGUAAUAUAACUCCACUUUUAUAUUGAAAUACAGUGCACGUGACUACAGUUUAUCAUAUUUUAUAUAAAUUUGGUAUUAUAUAUAAAC